AACGAACGCUGGCGGCAUGCCCAACACAUGCAAGUCGAACGAGACCUUCGGGUCUAGUGGCGCACGGGUGCGUAACGCGUGGGAACCUGCCCUUAGGUUCGGAAUAACUCCCCGAAAGGGGUGCUAAUACCGGAUAAUGUCUUCGGACCAAAGAUUUAUCGCCUUUGGAUGGGCCCGCGUUGGAUUAGCUAGUUGGUAGGGUAAAAGCCUACCAAGGCGACGAUCCAUAGCUGGUCUGAGAGGAUGAUCAGCCACACUGGGACUGAGACACGGCCCAGACUCCUACGGGGGGCAGCAGUGGGGAAUAUUGGACAAUGGGCGAAAGCCUGAUCCAGCAAUGCCGCGUGAGUGAUGAAGGCCUUAGGGUUGUAAAGCUCUUUUACCCGGGAUGAUAAUGACAGUACCGGGAGAAUAAGCUCCGGCUAACUCCGUG
rnacentral:rRNA from 1 species